rnacentral:rRNA from 1 species
AGUGAACGCUGGCGGUAGGCCUAACACAUGCAAGUCGAACGGCAGCACAGUAAGAGCUUGCUCUUACGGGUGGCGAGUGGCGGACGGGUGAGGAAUACAUCGGAAUCUACUUUUUCGUGGGGGAUAACGUAGGGAAACUUACGCUAAUACCGCAUACGACCUACGGGGGAAAGCAGGGGAUCUUCGGACCUUGCGCGAUUGAAUGAGCCGAUGUCGGAUUAGCUAGUUGGCGGGGUAAAGGCCCACCAAGGCGACGAUCCGUAGCUGGUCUGAGAGGAUGAUCAGCCACACUGUAACUGAGACACGGUCCAGACUCCUACGGGAGGCAGCAGUGGGGAAUCUUGCACAAUGGGCGCAAGCCUGAUCCAGCCAUACCGCGUGGGUGAAGAAGGCCUUCGGGUUGUAAAGCCCUUUUGUUGGGAAAGAAAAGCAGCAGGUUAAUCCCCCGCUGUUCUGACGGUACCCAAAGAAUAAGCACCGGCUAACUUCGUG